GAGUUUGAUCGUGGCUCAGAAUCAACGCUGGCGGCGUGCCUAACACAUGCAAGUCGAACGAGAAAGUGGAGCAAUCCAUGAGUACAGUGGCGACCGGGUGAGUAACACGUGACUACCUACCCUUGAGUGGGGGAUAACCUCGGGAAACCGAGGCUAAUACCGCAUAAUAUCGAGAGAUCAAAGGAGAAAUCCGCUUUUGGAGGGGGUCGCGGCUGAUUAGCUAGUUGGUGAGGUAAUGGCCCACCAAGGCGAAGAUCGGUAUCCGGCCUGAGAGGGCGCACGGACACACUGGAACUGAAACACGGUCCAGACUCCUACGGGAGGCAGCAGUGGGGAAUUUUGCGCAAUGGGGGAAACCCUGACGCAGCAACGCCGCGUGGAGGAUGAAGCCCCUUGGGGUGUAAACUCCUUUCGACCGGGAAAAUAAUGAUGGUACCGGUGGAAGAAGCACCGGCUAACUCUGUGCCAGCCGCCGACGGU
rnacentral:rRNA from 1 species